GUGCUCUCUUCGGUAGCACAUAUACUAAAAUUGGAACAAUACAGAGAAGAUUAGCAUGGGCCCUGCGUAAAUUAAUUCUCCAUAUUCAUAUUCCACAGGUCAUU
ensembl:snRNA U6 U6 spliceosomal RNA